CCCUCGAGCUCCGCCCCGGAGACGCCGAUGCGGGGCGGCCCCGGCGGGGAGAAGCGCGCGGAAGGGGUUGCGGAGGGGAUGCUGACCCUGGAGGGCCAAAGAGCCCCCCGAGACAGGCCAGUCCACCAAGCUUCCGGCGUGCCUAAGCCACGGUCACGGGCACCGUAUUACACAUUUUUUGAAGCUUAUUUAUUUAUUUUGAGAGAGGUAGAGAAAGAAUCCCAAGCGGCUCUGUGCUGACAGCCCGAUGUGGGGAUCGAACGCUUGAACUGUGAGAUCAUGAUCGGAGCCAAAAUCAAGAGUCAGAUGCUUAAUCGACUGAGCCACCCAGCCUCCCCCAGAUGCAUUAUUAACUUGGCUAGCAGCAAGACCUCAUAAAUGCAAAGUAACCAUUCAAGGACACCACUUCCAGCUUGUAAUGUAUAAGGACGCAACUGACCAAUUCCAGGGAUCCUUGUGGAUAAGGAAUAAACUCUGUGAAUGCAAGAUGCCAUAUUGUGAGCUAAGCUGUGGAUAGACCCUCUGGCAAGCAACUGAGGGCAGACUCCAGAUAAUACCCAGAAAGGAACUGAAACUCUGAGUCCAACAACCCAAAGGAACUGAAUCCUCCCAACAACCAUAUGAGCUUGGAGGUAGAUUCUUCCCCAAUCAGAUCUUCAGAUAAGAAUCCAACUCCUAGCCAACUCCUUAAUUGCAGCCUCAUGAGAAGUCCCAAAGCAGAGGACUCAGCUAAGCCAUGUCUGGAUUCUUGAUUCACACAAACUCUGAGGUAAUAGAUGUGUGUUGUUUUAAGCCACUACUUUUGUGUAUGCACCAACAGAUAACUAAUAAAAACACCUACUGAUGUUCUAA